AUGGCUGCCAGACAAGGCCAACCAUCGCAGGGGACACGUCGAGCAGGGCUAGUGGCGCCGUCGCGGAGACCAGCCACCUGCACCUUGCCGCCGCCGACCAUGGCCGCUGCCGCGCCGGCCCGCAGCCUCCGCCGCCCGGAUCCGCCGGGGCACAACAAAGCAGCCGCAGCCGCGCCCCCAAAGGGUCGCACUGCGCCGCCCGCGUGCUCGCCACGCCAGUCCAGAGGCCCGACCAUCUGGAUCUGGGGCCGCCGUUGA
rnacentral:rRNA from 1 species